rnacentral:tRNA from 1 species
GCAUUGGUGGUUCAGUGGUAGAAUUCUCGCCUUCCAUGCUGGAGACUCAGGUUCAAUUCCCAGCCAACGCA